rnacentral:rRNA from 1 species
UUAAACUGAAGAGUUUGAUCCUGGCUCAGAUUGAACGCUGGUGGCAUGCUUAACACAUGCAAGUCGAACGGUAACAGGUCUUAGGAUGCUGACGAGUGGCGGACGGGUGAGUAACGCGUAGGAAUCUGCCCAUUUGAGGGGGAUACCAGUUGGAAACGACUGUUAAUACCGCAUAAUAUCUGUGGAUUAAAGGUGGCUUUCGGGCUGUCGCAGAUGGAUGAGCCUGCGUUGGAUUAGCUAGUUGGUGGGGUAAGGGCCCACCAAGGCUACGAUCCAUAGCUGAUUUGAGAGGAUGAUCAGCCACAUUGGGACUGAGACACGGCCCAAACUCCUACGGGAGGCAGCAGUGGGGAAUAUUGGACAAU